rnacentral:rRNA from 1 species
CCUACGGGGAGCAGCAGUGAGGAAUAUUGGUCAAUGGACGAGAGUCUGAACCAGCCAAGUAGCGUGAAGGAUGACUGCCCUAUGGGUUGUAAACUUCUUUUAUAUGGGAAUAAAAUGUUCCACGUGUGGGAUUUUGUAUGUACCAUAUGAAUAAGGAUCGGCUAACUCCGUGCCAGCAGCCGCGGUAAUACGGAGGAUCCGAGCGUUAUCCGGAUUUAUUGGGUUUAAAGGGGGCGUAGGUGGAUUGUUAAGUCAGUUGUGAAAGUUUGCGGCUCAACCGUAAAAUUGCAGUUGAAACUGGCAGUCUUGAGUACAGUAGAGGUGGGCGGAAUUCGUGGUGUAGCGGUGAAAUGCUUAGAUAUCACGAAGAACUCCGAUUGCGAAGGCAGUUCACUGGACUGCAACUGACACUGAGGCUCGAAAGUGUGGGUAUCAAACAGGAUUAGAUACCCGUGUAGUC